UACUCCUUUUUUGGGCCUUUUUCAAGAUUGUUUGGGUGGGACACUACUCACACCUUCCACAUUACUGGUAGGGAGCUAACCCUAACUCCUUUCGACUUCCAUCGGCUAACGACUUCCACCUUCCACAUUACUGGUAAGGCAUGCUUUUGGGAGAGCUCUUGCUGUGAAGCUAGUGGGACGUUCUUACCAAAACGAGACCGGCUGAUACUAUGUUCUUGCUAGGGAGUUUGAUUCCCAGUCCCAAGCGACACUUGAGGAUCGAGCUUGAAUGACCAGGGCUUUCUUGUUCUAUGUGAUUUAGGCCACUCUCUUUGGCAAUGGUGGUCAGACAAUCGUGCUCUGAUGGUUGGAAGUUUUUAGGGACUUCAAUGCAGCUAAGGAGGUCAACUAGGGCAGUGCUUGUCUAUCUUACAUGUACUCCAUCAUGGAUGCCAUGAGCCAGGAGGUUUACUUUCAGCUUGUAGGUCACUAGAGGCUAUGGGAACAAUGGGCUGUCUCUUAUGGACUCAUCUACUAGGGGGCUGAUGUGAUCUGAGGGACUUUCGCUCUGUAAGGGCUCAUCUAGAUGGGAUUGUGGCUGAUCAGGUGAUUCUCUUUCUUGACCCUCACUUUGACAUUUUCUUACAUUUUUGCUAAAUCAUCUCUUAUAUAUCUGGUUAUGUGGAUGCCUUGGAGGGACAACGAUCCCAUUUUCUCUACUAAGGAGGAGAGGGCUCGUUAGGUCUUUGCACGCGUGUCUCGAAUCUUUGGAAGGGCUGGAUUGGGGUCAGUGUACCUUUUUGAGCGAGUGGCUCUUCAGCUUGAGCCUAUGGAUGAGCCUCGAGUUCCUGUGAGUCCUCCUCCCUUCAUGUUGGCCCUAGAGAGCAUAACAGGUGAGGAUCUAUACCAUUGGGAGGAUAAGAUCUACUUCUCAGAGUGAUUACUGGGUAAGGAGGUAGACUACGACCUAUUCAAUGAGAGCCAACUUACCACAGGGCGGUCCCAGUGGAGGAGCCUACUGUCCCUUCAGUUAAUGCUGCACCUGCUGGCGGGAACCUUGUGAGUCCAGUAUUCCCCUCAUACAAGGUUUAUGCCUGUGGUCUAGAUGGGGUUGCUGGGGAAUGUGCUCUUGCACGUAAUCCUAAUGUGAUAGGCUAUCCUAUUGCUAGGGAGCCCGAGAUCCUACCCGUGCAAAGUACGAGGAGCUGAUCUUGUUGGCCGGGAAUCUUAAGCUAGAGGUGGCCAACUACUCACAGAGCAUCUAUCUCACUAAUGGCUAUUUCUGGAGGGCUAGUGGCAGCAACAUACGGGGUGGCCAUGAUGAUGAUGAAGGUUUGUGCAAAGAAUAAUGGGCCAGGCCCAGCUCUCUGACUCACAGCAAAAUGGGCCCUAGCCCAGCAAAACAGGCUUUAGCCCAUUGAUGAAAAAAAAAAAACACCUGCAACAACCAAGCAAAGCUAUGUGAAAAAGAGAGAGAAAAGAAAUAAAAUAGACAAAAGAGUGCAAUAAAUUCAUGUCGCCAGUGAAAGGAAAAAAUGUGUGUGUGAGAGCAAAGCAGACAAUAAAAUUUUCUUUAACUAUGAGACAUAAAUGAGAAGAUUAAUUUAGGGGAGAAGAUUUUGGGUAUUGCCACUAAAAAGAGUUAUUGUAUUCCAGUGGGUGAAGA